UACGGAGACUGCGAGCGUUACUCGGAUUUACUGGGCGUAAAGGAUGCGUAGGCGGCUCAGUGUGUCAGGUGUGAAAUCCCGGGGCUCAACCCCGAAACUGCAUCUGAAACUACUGAGCUAGAGUAUCGGAGAGGUAAGCGGAAUUCUCGGUGUAGCGGUGAAAUGCAUAGAUAUCGGGAGGAACACCAAUGGCGAAAGCAGCUUACUGGACGAUAACUGACGCUGAGGCAUGAAAGCGUGGGUAGCGAAAGGG
rnacentral:rRNA from 1 species